GAGCAGAUAAUUUAAACUCAAAAUAUAACACUGAAAAUGUUAACACGAUUAUUACAUCUCUACUCA
rnacentral:tRNA from 1 species